rnacentral:rRNA from 1 species
AUUGAACGCUGGCGGCAAGCCUAACACAUGCAAGUCGAACGAGUGGCGGACGGGUGAGUAAUGUCUGGGAAACUGCCUGAUGGAGGGGGAUAACUACUGGAAACGGUAGCUAAUACCGCAUACCAUCGGAUGGGACCAGAUGGGAUUAGCUAGUAGGUGGGGGAAAGGCUAACCUAGGCGACGAUCCCUAGCUGGUCUGAGAGGAUGACCAGCCACCCUGGCACUGAGACACGGUCCAGACUCCUACGGGAGGCAGCAGUGGGGAAUAUUGCACAAUUGGCGCAAGCCUGAUGCAGCCAUGCCGCGUGUAUGAAGAAGUCCUUCGGUUUGUAAAGUACUUUCAGCGGGGAGGCGUUACCCGCAGAAGAAGCACCGGCUAACUCCGUGCCAGCAGCCGCGGUAAUAC